rnacentral:rRNA from 1 species
GACGAACGCUGGCGGCGUGCUUAACACAUGCAAGUCGAGCGGAAAGGCCCUUCGGGGUACUCGAGCGGCGAACGGGUGAGUAACACGUGAGUAACCUGCCCUGGACUUUGGGAUAACCCUCGGAAACGGGGGCUAAUACCGGAUAUGACAUACUCUCGCAUGGGAUGUGUGUGGAAAGUUUUUCGGUCUGGGAUGGGCUCGCGGCCUAUCAGCUUGUUGGUGGGGUGAUGGCCUACCAAGGCGACGACGGGUAGCCGGCCUGAGAGGGCGACCGGCCACACUGGGACUGAGACACGGCCCAGACUCCUACGGGAGGCAGCAGUGGGGAAUAUUGCACAAUGGGCGGAAGCCUGAUGCAGCGACGCCGCGUGA